rnacentral:rRNA from 1 species
AACGAACGCUGGCGGCAGGCCUAACACAUGCAAGUCGAACGCUGUAGCAAUACAGAGUGGCAGACGGGUGAGUAACGCGUGGGAACCUUCCCAGUGGUGCGGAAUAGCUCAGGGAAACUUGAGGUAAUACCGCAUAAGCCCCUAGGGGGAAAGAUUUAUCGCCAUUGGAUGGGCCCGCGUCGGAUUAGCUAGUUGGUGAGGUAAUGGCUCACCAAGGCAACGAUCCGUAGCNGGUUUGAGAGAAUGACCAGCCACACUGGGACUGAGACACGGCCCAGACUCCUACGGGAGGCAGCAGUGGGGAAUCUUGGACAAUGGGCGCAAGCCUGAUCCAGCCAUGCCGCGUGAGUGACGAAGGCCUUAGGGUUGUAAAGCUCUUUUGCCGGGGACGAUAAUGACGGUACCCGGAGAAUAAGUCCCGGCUAACUUCGUGCCAGCCGCCGCCGUAAU